rnacentral:rRNA from 1 species
UGAGCAAUCUGCCCUUCUCAUCGGAAUAAGCGUUGGAAACGACGUCUAAUGCCGAAUACGACCUCCUUUCGCAUGAUCGGAGGUGGAAAGCUCCGGCGGAGAAGGAUGAGCUCGCGGCCUAUCAGCUAGUUGGUGUGGGUAAUGGCCCACCAAGGCGACAACGGGUAGCCGGCCUGAGAGGGUGACCGGCCACACUGGGACUGAGACACGGCCCAGACUCCUACGGGAGCAG